AGAGUUUGAUCAUGGCUCGAGGACGAACGCUGGCGGCGUGCCUAACACAUGCAAGUCGAACGGAGAUGUUGAUUUCGGUUGACGUCUUAGUGGCGAACGGGUGAGUAACGCGUGAACAAUCUGACCUUAAGAGGGGGAUAACAACGAGAAAUCGUUGCUAAUACCGCAUAAGACCACAAUGCCGCAUGGCGAAGGGGGUCAAAAGGGAGCAAUCCGCUUAAGGAGGGGUUCGCGUCCCAUUAGGUAGUAGGUGAGGUAACGGCCACCUAGCCGACGAUGGGUAGCCGAGCUGAGAGGCUGAUCGGCCACACUGGAACUGAGACACGGUCCAGACUCCUACGGGAGGCAGCAGUGGGGAAUAUUGGGCAAUGGGCGCAAGCCUGACCCAGCAACGCCGCGUGAGGGAAGAAGGUUUUCGGAUUGUAAACCUCUGUCGCAGAUGACGAAACAAAUGACGGUAAUCUGUGAGGAAGCCCCGGCUAACUACGUG
rnacentral:rRNA from 1 species